GACGAACGCUGGCGGCGUGCUUAACACAUGCAAGUCGAACGCUGAAGACCUGGCUUUUGUUGGGUUGGAUGAGUGGCGAACGGGUGAGUAACACGUGAGUAACCUGCCCUCUUCUUUGGGAUAACGCCCGGAAACGGGUGCUAAUACUGGAUAUUCACUGAUCUUCGCAUGGGGGUUGGUGGAAAGGUUUGUUCUGGUGGGGGAUGGGCUCGGGGCCUAUCAGCUUGUUGGUGGGGUGAUGGCCUACCAAGGCUUUGACGGGUAGCCGGCCUGGGGGGGUGACCGGUCACAUUGGGACUGAGAUACGGCCCGGACUCCUACGGGAGGCAGCAGUGGGGAGUAUUGCACAAUGGGCGAAAGCCUGAUGCAGCGGCGCCGCGUGAGGGAUGGAGGCCUUCGGGUUGUAAACCUCUUUCGCUCAUGGUCAAGCCGCAACUGUGGGUUGUGGUGAGGGUAGUGGGUAAAGAAGCGCCGGCUAACUACGUG
rnacentral:rRNA from 1 species